GUUGAAAUCACGCCAAAGACGCCCAACCAGCGUCACGGGGGACCCAAGGCGCGAAUGACCGCGCACCGGGGCGAAUUCCGCUGAACUCCUACACGGACCACGCGGAUAGAGCAACUCCAGGCUCGAGCCCGUCAGCUAACCUCGUCGGCGCGUGGAGUCUGUCG
rnacentral:sRNA from 2 species